rnacentral:rRNA from 1 species
GACGAACGCUGGCGGCGUGCUUAACACAUGCAAGUCGAACGGAAAGGCCCUGCUUUUGUGGGGUGCUCGAGUGGCGAACGGGUGAGUAACACGUGAGUAACCUGCCAUUGACUUUGGGAUAACUUCAGGAAACUGGGGCUAAUACCGGAUAGGAGCUCCUGCUGCAUGGUGGGGGUUGGAAAGUUUCGGCGGUUGGGGAUGGACUCGCGGCUUAUCAGCUUGUUGGUGGGGUAGUGGCUUACCAAGGCUUUGACGGGUAGCCGGCCUGAGAGGGUGACCGGCCACAUUGGGACUGAGAUACGGCCCAGACUCCUACGGGAGGCAGCAGUGGGGAAUAUUGCACAAUGGGCGGAAGCCUGAUGCAGCAACGCCGCGUGCGGGAUGACGGCCUUCGGGUUGUAAACCGCUUUCGCCUGUGACGAAGCGUGAGUGACGGUAAUGGGUAAAGAAGCACCGGCUAACUACGUGCCAGCAGCCGCGGUGAUACGUAGGGUGCGAGCGUUGUCCGGAUUUAUUGGGCGUAAAGGGCUCGUAGGUGGUUGAUCGCGUCGGAAGUGUAAUCUUGGGGCUUAACCCUGAGCGUGCUUUCGAUACGGGUUGACUUGAGGAAGGUAGGGGAGAAUGGAAUUCCUGGUGGAGCGGUGGAAUGCGCAGAUAUCAGGAGGAACACCAGUGGCGAAGGCGGUUCUCUGGGCCUUUCCUGACGCUGAGGAGCGAAAGCGUGGGGAGCGAACAGGCUUAGAUACCCUGGUAGUCCACGCUGUAAACGGUGGGUACUAGGUGUGGGGUCCAUUCCACGGGUUCCGUGCCGUAGCUAACGCUUUAAGUACCCCGCCUGGGGAGUACGGCCGCAAGGCUAAAACUCAAAGGAAUUGACGGGGCCCCGCACAAGCGGCGGAGCAUGCGGAUUAAUUCGAUGCAACGCGUAGAACCUUACCUGGGUUUGACAUGGAUCGGGAGUGCUCAGAGAUGGGUGUGCCUCUUUUGGGGUCGGUUCACAGGUGGUGCAUGGCUGUCGUCAGCUCGUGUCGUGAGAUGUUGGGUUAAGUCCCGCAACGAGCGCAACCCUUGUUCACUGUUGCCAGCACGUUAUGGUGGGGACUCAGUGGAGACCGCCGGGGUCAACUCGGAGGAAGGUGGGGAUGACGUCAAGUCAUCAUGCCCCUUAUGUCCAGGGCUUCACGCAUGCUACAAUGGCUGGUACAGAGAGUGGCGAGCCUGUGAGGGUGAGCGAAUCUCGGAAAGCCGGUCUCAGUUCGGAUUGGGGUCUGCAACUCGACCUCAUGAAGUCGGAGUCGCUAGUAAUCGCAGAUCAGCAACGCUGCGGUGAAUACGUUCCCGGG